ACGCGCUGGCAUUCCGGCGGAGAGAAGCAGCUGUUCUUUCUUGGGACUGGCUCCAGAGCCUGGCAAAGGGCAGCCGGGCUCUGGCCUUGCACACGCAAAGGCGGCAUCACCUUCUGGGCGCUGCAGCUGGCUGGCGCUCCCCGUUCUGCUGCUGUGCCGCGGGAGCCGAGCGAGCCUCUCGGAGGGGCAUUAUGACGCACCCGAUCGGUAUUAGAACACUUCACCUUCUAUUUAUAGGCACUCCACCAACCGCAGAACACGCUCUGUCUCCCCUGCUCGCUCGCUCUGUCGUUGCUCCAUACAGGAGGGGAGGGGAGAAAGGAAGCGCCGUAAAGACACGCGUUUCCCUCUACAGCGCAGGCAGAAAUCUGUACCGGUGAGGGAAAAGACAGAACGCGCACGUCUGUGUGUCUGUCGUGAGUGUGCGCUGCCUGCCAGCAUUUCCAAGCAAAGCGCCAGCAUCUAGCUACCGUCUCACGUGUCGCCUGCCUAUGAAAUGAUUAUGCUCUCCAAACCAUUCUCAGUUGCUCUGAGGAACAACAACAACAAAAGCGUUACGGCUAAUUCAAAAAUAAUGUUGCUGAUCCAGUGAGUGGGCCUCAAAUCACCUCAGACACAAUGAUUUUCCAUGCAGCCAGUUCACACAUAAGCCAGUCAUUAACUGUAGACAAAUCAAGUGAAGUACAUGCAUGUGUGACCCAACAACGAACAGGAUCCUGAGAGUGAGGGCUGACUCCCCACUUUGCAUGCUGGAACAGCAUGACCAUGAAGAAUGUGAUAUAUUUCAGACAAAACAGCAGGGAGAGAUGCAGAUUUCCGUAUUAAACAUGAUCAAAUUCUAUACACUAGAAAAUGAACAGACAAAAGCGACUUGAUAAAUCCACAGAGGGCACAGCUGUUCCAGGCACUGGCAGCAGUAUGGCAUGUGAUGGGCCACAGACAAAGCAGGCAAACUUCUGGAGAGAUUAAUUUGACCUUCAGGAAUCCUUUUAGAAGACCAGAGUAAGAUGAUCAACGAUGAUCUUAACACCAUGCUU